rnacentral:rRNA from 1 species
UGGCGAACGGGUGAGUAACGCGUGAGGAACCUGCCUCAAAGAGGGGGGAAACAGUUGGAAACGACUGCUAAUACCGCAUAAGCCCACGACCCGGCAUCGGGAAGAGGGAAAAGGAGCAAUCCGCUUUGAGAUGGCCUCGCGUCCGAUUAGCUAGUUGGUGAGGUAACGGCCCACCAAGGCGACGAUCGGUAGCCGGACUGAGAGGUUGAACGGCCACAUUGGGACUGAGACACGGCCCAG